GAGAUACAUUCUUUAUCACCCAGCAUAACCUAGAGAAUUAAGACCUACUACAAAAGAAAUUGGAAGGCACACAAACAAGCAAGAAAAACACUAAACCUAAAUAAUUUUACUGCCAGGGUUAAAGUUAAACAUCCCUACAAAGAAAUCACGUGAAAACAACAAAUCUAUAUAUGUAUAUAUAAAUAGCAAUAAAAGAACCAACUGAACAAGCAAGGAAAAAAGUAACCAAAUGCCCAAGGAAAAAAUUCUACUCAAAGGUCAUUUUGUAAUACGGAAAAACCUCGCUCAAGCGCCACAAAAGAGGAUAUUCGCAACCAAUCAUACCCAAAAUUAAACCCAAACCAUGAAUCACAUUCUUCUUCACUCAGUAAACCUCCGAUAUACCAAAAGAACCUCGAGAGAGCACCCAAACCCUAGUUCAA
rnacentral:lncRNA from 1 species